CAGUGUGGCRACAAAUGCACACCUUUUGCAGAUCUUUUGAAAGCCUGAAUGAACUACGUGCAUGUUAAAUAGGAUGCACCAUCCUCAGGGGAAAAAAUCAGCUGGCUCACCUGAGAACAUUAGACGUGCACCUCUGUAUUGUAUAUCUCUGCAGCRCCUGUUGUAAAGUUCUCUAAGUCCAAUACAGGAACUGUCCUCUACAGUGUGUCUUUUUUAAGGUUUGGUAAAAGUACUUCAGGUUCAGGACAGAGAGCCCAGGAGAUGUGAGUGCAGCUGCUGAAUUUCUGAGAUUUGCCUCUGGACAAAGGACCUGAUUCUGCUGCUCUUGUCAACAUUUCUACUGACUUCACUGAGAACAAAAUGGAGAGCAAGAAGCUGUAGUUACAGAACACUGUUACUUGUUUGUUAUAGUGGUGAAGCAGAGGUUAAACCAAACCAGGAGUUCACAAUGCAUUAUCCUUUCAUUUUUCUGAGUUGUAGAAAAUGUUAUUGUCUGGAUAGUUAUUAGCUUGGACAGUACUUUAUCCUGAAAAGGUAUGUAAAAGAACUGAUGCACCCUAAUUCUGAAAGGACUGGUGCAAAGACUCUGAAUUUCCUCCCAAUUUCACAGAAAAACAGAGUU